CGCACAGAUGGCUGCAGUUGGAUGAUAUUGGCUCCCCUCCCCCACCCAGAAGCUUGGUGUGACGGAGCUCUGGGGACAGAGGAGUGCAGUAUCAGGAUGGAGGACCAGAGCCCAGACUCUCCUGAACCCAGUUGUGUGUCCUUAAAGAGUGACUGGUCUAAAGAUGCCAUUAUUAACUUCAAAAAAUCUGCAGGUGGAAGUUUCAAGAGGAUUAGGCUUCAGGAAGACUUGCCUGAACCCAGCUGUUUGUCCAUGAAGAGUGACAUGUCUAAAGAUGCCAUUAUUAACUUCAAAGAAUCUGCAGGUGAAAGUAAUAAGAUGAUGAGGCUGUGGGCAGACUCGCCUGAACCUAGUUGUGUGUCCAUGAAGAGUGACUGGUCUAAAGAUGCCAUUAUUAACUUCAAAGAAUCUGCACAUGGAAGAGGUCAGCUGGAAACAUCAGAGUUCUUCAAUGAUCAGUCCAAGCAACAUAAAACAGACCUGGACUUAAUAUUUAUGUUGCUGGAGGAGAACAUUAUCACCUUUGUGAAGAACGAACUGAAGAGAUUUCAGAAGGCUCUGAGUCAGGAUAACCCAGAAUGUCACAGUGAGGAUGAGGAGGUGUUGGUUGGUGAAUAUGAAGAUCAGAGGAGCAGCAGAGAGGCUUUUCUGAAGAUCACAGAGAACUUCCUGAGGAGAAUAAAGCAGAACGAGUUGGCUGACCGUCUGUGGAACAGAAUUUCUGCUCCGGUAUGCCAACAUAAACUCAAGUCUAACCUGAAGGAGAAGUUCCAGUGUGUGUUUGAGGGGAUUGCUAAAGCAGGAAACCCAACCCUUCUGAAUCAGAUCUACACAGAGCUCUACAUCACAGAGGGAGGGACUGGAGAGGUCAACGAUGAACAUGAGGUCAGACAGAUCGAAGCAACAUCCUGGAAAGCACACAGACUGGAACCAGUCAUCAGACAGGAGGAUAUCUUUAAAUCUCCACCUGGAAGAGAUGAACCAAUCAGAACAGUGAUGACGAAGGGCGUGGCUGGCAUUGGGAAAACAGUCUUAACACAGAAGUUCACUCUGGACUGGGCUGAAGGCAAAGCCAACCAGGACAUCCAGUUCACAUUUCCAUUGACUUUCAGAGAGCUGAAUGUGCUGAAAGAGAAGAAGUUCAGCUUGGUGGAGCUUGUUCAUUACUUCUUUCCUGAAACCAAAAAAGCAGGACUCUGCAGGUUUGAAGAAUUCAAAGUCGUGUUCAUCUUUGAUGGUCUGGACGAGUGUCGACUUCCUCUGGACUUCCACAACAACCAGAUCUUAACUGAUGUUAAAAAGUCCACCUCAGUGGAUGUGCUACUGACAAACCUCAUCAGGGGGAACCUGCUUCCAUCUGCUAGUCUCUGGAUAACCACACGACCUGCAGCAGCCAAUCAGAUCCCUCCUGGGUGUGUUGAUAUGGUGACAGAGGUCAGAGGGUUUACUGACCCUCAGAAGGAGGAGUACUUCAGGAAGAGAUUCAGAGAUGAGGAGCAGGCUAGCAGAAUCAUCUCCCACAUCAGGAGAUCCAGAAGUCUCCACAUCAUGUGCCACAUCCCGGUCUUCUGCUGGAUCACUGCUACAGUUCUGGAGGAUGUGCUGAAGACCAGAGAGGGAGGAGAGCUGCCCAAGACCCUGACUGAGAUGUUCAUCUACUACCUGGUGGUUCAGACCAAAGUGAAAAACAUCAAAUAUGAUGGAGGAGCUGAGACAGACCCACACUGGAGUCCAGAGAGCAGGAAGAUGAUCGAGUCUCUGGGUAAGCUGGCUUUUGAGCAGCUGCAGAAAGGAAACCUGAUCUUCUAUGAACCAGAUCUGAUGGAGUGUGGCAUCGAUAUCAGAGCAGCCUCGGUGUACUCAGGAGUGUUCACACAGGUCUUCAGAGAGGAGAGAGGACUGUACCAGGACAAGGUGUUCUCCUUCAUCCAUCUGAGUGUUCAUGAGUUUCUGGCUGCUCUUCAUGUCCACCUGACCUUCAUCAACUCUGGAGUCAAUCUGAUGGCAGAAGAACAAACACCAUCCAGAUCUACAACGACAGAGCUCUACCAGAGUGCUGUGGACCAGGCCUUACUGAGCCCAAACGGACACCUGGACUUGUUCCUCCGCUUCCUCCUGGGCCUGUCACUGACCAGCAAUCAGAAUCUCCUACGAGGUCUGCUGACACAAACUGGAAGUGACUCACAGACCAGAGAGAAAACAGUUCAGUAUAUCCAGACAAAGAUCAGCGAGGAUCUGUCGGCAGAGAAGAGCAUCGACCUGUUCCACUGUCUGAAUGAAUUGAAUGAUCGUUCUCUAGUGGAGCAGAUCCAACAGUCCCUGAGAUCAGGACAUCUCUCCACAGAUAAACUGUCUCCUGCUCAGUGGUCAGCUCUGGCCUUUAUCUUACUGUCAUCAGAAAAAGAUCUGGAUGUGUUUGACCUGAAGAAAUACUCCACUUCAGAGGAGGCUCUCCUGAGGCUGCUGCCAGUGGUCAAAGCCUCCAACAGAGCUCUACUGAGUGGGUGUAACCUCUCAGAGAGAAGCUGUGGAGCUCUGUCCUCAGUGCUUAGCUCCCAGUCCUCCAGUCUCAGAGAGCUGGACCUGAGUAACAAUGACUUACAGGAUUCAGGAAAUGAGCUACUUUGUGUUGGACUUAUGGAUCCACUUUCUACGUUUGAAUCUCUCAGACUGAGUGGGUGUAACCUCUCAGCGAGAAGCUGUGGAGCUCUAUCCUCAGUCCUCAGCUCCUCCAGUCUCAGAGAUCUGGACCUGAGUAACAACGACCUGCAAGAUUCAGGAGUGAUCCUGCUGUCUUCUGGACUAAAUAGUCCACACUGCAGGCUGGACUCUCUCAGUCUGUCUGGCUGUUUGGUCUCAGAAGAAGGCUGUUCUUCUCUGGCCUCGGCCAUGAUCUCAUCCUGUCUGACAGAACUGGACCUGAGCUACAAUCAUCCAGGAGAACGAGGAGAGAGACUACUGUCAGCUCUACUGGAGGAUCCACACUGCAGACUGAAGACACUGAGGUACAGACAGAAAGACACAGAGAGAAGGACUGGUACUAGGUACUACAGUUGACUCUACGCACUUCACCUAUACAGGGGCUUUUAUUUUGGUAGGAUAGUGGAUGGAUAAAGUAGGAAACUGGGGAGAGAGAGUGGAGAAUGACAUAAUGAAAAGGAGCCCACCCACCAACACUGUUAGGACAACAGCCUCUACACAUGGGGCAGGUGGACAGAACCACUAGACUACCAGCGAUGCCUAGUUGCUACUGCCUGUUGCAGUAGCAACUGGGGCAUUAGGAGCAACUCUAGACUAGAGGCUGACUGUUUUUUCAGGAGUCCCACAGAUCAUGAGAUUCUCAUGGGGACGGGAAUAAAUUUCACAACUAAUCAUGUGAUUAGGACAAGACGGGAACGAAAGUUGAAGGGAGCAGGGAUCAGUAUAAUGUAGGGAAGUUUUAUCUGCAAACACUGUUAUUAUAUUAAUUACAGGUACUAUUUUCAUCAACGUUGAUGUUCGCUGAUUUUUUGCAAUUUUCAUAGAGGUGGCCAGACUGAGACCAAAGCUCACACAGGGGUGACACAGAAACGGAUAUCUUUUUUUGCCCUAUCUGUGACCUCUUCUCUGGCGGCGGGAAACAGAGCGUCCUCCAGUGCUUAAUUUGUAAAUCUUCAGGUCCCGGACCACAGACCGGGUGUUGUUCCAGUGGUAAGGGGGAAACAAAAAUGUCACGGAAUACAUCAGAAACCGACAAACUGCCCUGUGCAAAAACAGGCCAAGAAGAUCAUGUGACUGCAAACAACCUAUUAAUCUAAAUGAUUAAAAAAGAAUCAGCUGCAGAGAAGCACGUACAAUCACCCAUCCAUGGAGAGCGUCUCUCUCACUCACUCUCUCUCUGAGUGGCAGCUGUCAGUCAAAUCUGAUGUGUUUCAACACCAAGGACAGCCAAAAUCACCACCAGCUCAUUUAGCCACUCUCAGCAUAAACAUAAACUGUCACUACACAAAAACCCACUUAUUAAGUUGAAAUCAUUAUUUAUGAAAUUGUACCUGCCACGUCAUUAGUAUUCAGUAGAUAUUAUUCUGUUAUUCAAUCAGAGCUUGUCUGCAAAAACAAAACUUUUCCAUCAGUUGACUGCCCGAGUAAACAAGUCUAUGGUCCGAUCAUCUGUCUCUCAUCUUAAUGCCUUUUCAUUCAAAGAUUUGUGGACUGCUUCCACAGUUCACAGCACAAAUGUCCACAUUAGUAGCUGUGGGAGUAAUGUUAAUCAUAUACCAAAACAGACAGCAGAAAAUCUGAAACCAAAGCCAGCUCACAUGACAGAAUUUACACUUUAGGUGUCACUGAAUGAUCUGCUGACAGCUUGUUUUUAUCUCAUAAUAAAGCUCUAAAUGCAUCCAAAAAUAAUUACAGGCAGCGAAAAUAAAGAGCUCAUGUUAAGGCACGGCGGCCAAUUAAUAAUUAAAACAUUGUCUUACCUUAAUAUAGCAGUUAUGUGACACUGUGACAUGGAUGAAACGGUGUCUGUUUCUCUCAGGGCUGUCCUGUUAAUCCCACUUUGAUCCAGGUACCCAGUGAUAGCAGCCUGCUCACGGAUGUUGCUAACUCUUUAUCUCAGCUCUCAUCUACCUGUACAGGCUGGACCAUGGUGGACAGCACAGACUGAAACCAGGUCUAAAGAAGUACGCCUGUGAGCUGGAAGUGGACACAAACACAGUGAACAGAAAACUCAAACUGUCUUACAACAACAGGAAGGUGACACAUGUGGAGG